CCUACGGGAGGCAGCAGUGGGGAAUCUUGGGCAAUGGGCGCAAGCCUGACCCAGCGACGCCGCGUGGGGGAUGAAGGCCUUCGGGUCGUAAACCCCUUUUCUGGGGGGACGAAAGCCCUCCGGUGAAUAGCCGGGGGGUCUGACGGUACCCCCAAAGGAAGCCCCGGCUAACUCCGUGCCAGCAGCCGCGGUAAUACGGAGGGGGCGAGCGUUAUUCGGAAUUACUGGGCGUAAAGCGCGCGCAGGUGGCGUGGCGAGUGGCGGGUGAAAGCCCUCGGCCCAACCGAGGAAUUGCCUGCCAAACUACCGCGCUGGAGGCCGGGAGGGGGAAGCGGAAUUCCUGGUGUAGCGGUAAAAUGCGUAGAUACCAGGAGGAACACUGGUGGCGAAGGCGGCUUCCUGGACCGGUUCUGACACUCAUGCGCGAAAGCGUGGGGAGCAAACAGGAUUAGAUACCCUUGUAGU
rnacentral:rRNA from 1 species